CAACAUAAAUCCAAAAAUCAAAACAAAACCCAACAAAUAAAAUCUUUUUUCCCACUCACCAAGUGGGUGAAUCUCCGGAAAAGAACCUCUAUCGCCAAAGUUGGCCUCCUACCGGGUCCGGGAGACCGAGCCCUUCCACUGGCCAUACGGAUCCUGAGCCCGAGGACGCAGCCUUGUGGCGAUGCUCGUCUUCGCGGCCACAAACCGGGCAGGCAAUUUACUGGACAGGAACAUGGCGGCAGCGAACUCACGCGGUCAUUCGGGCCUACGAAAAACGAACACACCGGACCGCCAAAACACAAAUGAAGAAACGAAGCAAAGUCUGAGAGUCUGACGAAGCUGUCACGAAACUGCAUUUCAAAUCAAAACAAGAUCAAUUUCAAGUGUUUUCCUCAUCACUUUGAAUAGUUGAGCACAGUGGGGCAAAUUCAUGAGCAAAACACUUGAAAAGUUUGAGCCACCCGAAUGAAAAUAAGGUGUCAAAAAAUACCAAAAAGUCAAUCGUUUAAACACUUGAAUUUGAUAAUGGAUUGGAUUGAAAUUCAAACACAAACAAAUUAGAUCUAAGAUGUGGCUUUAUUGAAUCUUUCAAGUGUUUGGGCACUUGGAAAAAAAGUGUGGCGUAUUUUCAGUGUAGUGAAGGCUAGAGAGCCUAUAUGGAGAGGCGAAAUGUCACUCUCACCCAAUCAAACAGUUCUCCGCUUGACGGGUUCAUUCCGCUUCGAAUUCCGCUUCGAAAAUUGCUUCGAAAUUUUCUAAACGGAAUCUCCGGUUGGACUCCGUUUCAAUUCCGUUUGACCAUUUUUGCACAAGGGCGACACCUGCUGGUGUACGACAGAACCUCGAUGACACUUCGCCGAAGUUCGCCGAAACGGUUUUGUUGUUGAUUUUUGUCAAAAAUGUGCGAACUAAACGUCAAAGUGUUAGGAAAAAAGAGAGCCGAAACUUGUUCAGUCAUGUUCAAUUUUCAUUCGCGUGCUUUUAUUUUUGGAAGAAAUCUCGGAUUGUAUAAAUGAUGGGACUGGUGAGUAAAAAUUCAUGCUGCGUUUUCGAUAGUAUGAAAUAAAAGAUUUAUGCGAGGAUUUAUGUGUAUUUUUUUCCCCAGUUUUCAAAUCUGGCUCGGCUGGAGGAACUGGCCGACUUCCUGUACUCGUUUUUUCGGGUGUUUAUCUCGAUGUCAGAUUAAUCAAAACGCAGGUGAGUCGUAAAGUGCCCUCAGUUGUUGGAGCUACUCCAUUCCUCCUGUUCCGGCCUCAAGGGUUCGUGCAACCGUUGGUAGUUCAUAUUCCGGAAAGCCUGCUGCAGGUUCCGAUCAUUCCGUAGACAUUCCGUACUAUCGGCGGUAGCGGUGACAUCACCUCAACAAAACUAAUUAUUGAUUUCUUUCUCCUUUUCCUUUUCCAGAUUCAAGAUAAAUGUCCAAAGCCUCAUUUUGGAGGUCCAGGCGCUGGAUCCGGAAGUAGAGACUGAUAGGCGGAGGCUCGAACUGCUAAGGACUUCCGGUGGACGUUGAGCUCACAAGCGGCCGGAAUUUUGUAUCAGCUGGUCUAAUAGAUGACUGAGUCGCCACUGGAUCAAAGAAAGUUGCCGGAAUCGCCGAUACCUUUGUACUGCUUGUCAGCGGCGAUCUUCUGCGAGGCGGCCUGGACCUGGAGCAGCAGUUUGACGCGCUCGAUCGGGGCGACGGCGGCGGAGAUACCACCGGCCAGGAAAUCCUUGGCGAAACCGUAGGGAUCAGCCUUCUUACCCGACAUUUUUGAUCUGGGUUUUUUUUUUUAAAUCACAAACUGACAGAGCAGGUCCUAGGUAAAAGCGAGUCCUGGCCGCGGAGCUUCCGAAUCGUACGGAAGGCACAAUCGAUGAAGGUCAAGGUUCACGGCCCCGGAAUCCAACGAUGUCUAUGUAGAAGUUCCGAUCGAUACAGAGGAAACGGAGUGUACUGAAUCGCUAUAUGUUAUAAAUCAAUAUGUUUACUGUUAAUCUUUAAAAAAAAAAAAACAAAGGGGAGCCGGGGUUGGGAAGCGUUUGAUUUCACGAUGAAUUAUAUUUAAAUCAAAUAAAAUCAGCUGCAAAUGAAAAAAAAGAGUUGAAUAAUUAUUUUUGGUUGAAUCCAAAACAAAAGAAGAAAACCAGAAUGAAAAAAGAAGAAGAAGAAGAAGAAGCUGUCAAAAGCAACCCGUCCAUUCCGUUUCGAUUCCGUUUGAAUUCCGCUUGAACCGAUUUGCGGCGAAAACUCAAACGGAACCGGUUGUUGCGUUUGAAACGGAAUGCGGUUUAGAAUCUAAAACGAACACUGUUUAGAAUUCGAAUCGAACUUUUUUCGCUCAAGCGGAAUUCUAAACGGAAUUCAAACGGAACGCUCUGAGUGGGGCAGGGUUCCAAUCGAACUGUCAAAUUGGGGUUCCAAUCGAGCAACAAGAUCAUGCAAGAACAAGGUCGGAAUCAAUUUAAAAUAAUUUUGACAAAAAAACGAGACUUAAAACAAUCACAAGUAUUGUAAAACUGUUGUUGAUAACAAUCUGGUAGUUUUUGUUAUGUUUAUGCUUGUUCGGUACAAGAAAAGUGCCAGCACCAAAGAAAAACUACAAGUUUUCCAACCUUAAAUUUGAAUGACCUUGGUUGUUUGAAAUUUCUCCCAGAACAUUUCAUUUCCCUAUGUAGGUCCCUAGUGAAGGCAGCUUUUUUGCCAACGAUUUUUAUUCCAUCGUCAUCGUUCGAACCAACAACAUCGUAGCAGAGCAAUUCUCUGAGAUUUCGGUCAUUCGAUUUUUUUUUUGUAUUUUUUAAUCCGGCUGAAACUUUUUUGGUGCCUUCGGUAUGCCCAAAGAAGCCAUUUUGCAUCAUUAGUUUGUCCAUAUAAUUUUCCAUACAAAUUUGGCAGCUGUCCAUACAAAAAUGAUAUGUGAAAAUUCAAAAAUCUGUACACUGAAAAUACGCCACACUUUUUUUCCAAGUGCCCAAACACUUGAAAGAUUCAAUAAAGCCACAUCUUAGAUCUAAUUUGUUUGUGUUUGAAUUUCAAUCCAAUCCAUUAUCAAAUUCAAGUGUUUAAACGAUUGACUUUUUGGUAUUUUUUGACACCUUAUUUUCAUUCGGGUGGCUCAAACUUUUCAAGUGUUUUGCUCAUGAAUUUGCCCCACUGUGCUCAACUAUUCAAAGUGAUGAGGAAAACACUUGAAAUUGAUCUUGUUUUGAUUUGAAAUGCAGUUUCGUGACAGCUUCGUCAGACUCUCAGACUUUGCUUCGUUUCUUCAUUUGUGUUUUGGCGGUCCGGUGUGUUCGUUUUUCGUAGGCCCGAAUGACCGCGUGAGUUCGCUGCCGCCAUGUUCCUGUCCAGUAAAUUGCCUGCCCGGUUUGUGGCCGCGAAGACGAGCAUCGCCACAAGGCUGCGUCCUCGGGCUCAGGAUCCGUAUGGCCAGUGGAAGGGCUCGGUCUCCCGGACCCGGUAGGAGGCCAACUUUGGCGAUAGAGGUUCUUUUCCGGAGAUUCACCCACUUGGAAGGAUGCGAUUGAGCUGCAGAUGCCGUACCAGGAAGAGUUUGAUGAAAUUAAGGAAAACACCCGCCGGGCCAAGCAAUGCGUCUUUCGGAUGGUCAAGGCACAGUGUGAUUCGUUGGAACCAACCGCGGUUCCGAAUCAACAAGAAGGUUCCUCGGGGGCCUCCUUCUCCGCAGAAAGCGAUGGUGGCGAACAACCCGAACCUGACCAGGAGAACGAUCCUGAAAGCAGGGACAACCGGAAGAAGAGAUAAUUUAACAAAAAAAAUGUUCCAUUUUUGACAAGCAAAUAAAAGCUGUCAAAUAAAUUUCAUAACGCAACUUCUUCUCUUUUUUAACAAAUCGAAAUCCAUUUCUAUUACAUACAAACAUGCAUUGAUUAUAGAAGGAAAAAUCAUUUAAAACCAAUAGAAAUAACGUGGUUUUCCAUGCGACACAACACAUCAAAUUCAAGUGUUGUGCUAUUGAAUGGACAGCAUCUUUAGGUGCCCAAAAUUCAAGUGUUUUGCGAUUGAUUUUUGAGUGCUCUGUACAGCAGGGUCAGAUCAUGUGUAGAACACUUCGUUAAGCUGUGUAAGUUUUGCUCAGUGUAUCUUUUGAAUCAAUUUUUUGAUCGAUUUGGUGUCUUCAGCAAAGUUGUAGGUAUGGAUAUGGACUACACUGAGCAAAACUUACACAGCUCAACGAAGUGUUCUACACAUGAUCUGGCUCUGCUGUACAGAGCACUCAAAUAUCAAUCGCAAAACACUUGAAAUUUCGGUGAUUGGCCAUGAAAUCAUGUCAAUAGCCAAACACUUGAAUUUUAAAUAGUGUUGAAAAAUAAAAAUACGUACAAGCGAUAUACAGGUUCGCUUGCUAGUCGUGCACGCUACCACUGCGCUUGCUGGCCACUUGAAGACGGGUGAGUUUUUUGCGCUAUUCGUUCUAGCCUAGCUUCUAGCCUUCGAUGAAAGUCGCUCCAAAAUCAAUCAGUGAAACACAUUGAAUUCAUGUGGACUUCACGUUGACUUUGAAUAGUGCCUGUUUUGGGUAGAUCUUAAGAUCAAUUUCAAGUGUUUUGCUCUUCACUUUGAAUAGUUAAAGGCAGUGGGACAAAUUCAUGAGUAAAACACUUGAAAAGCUUGAGGCACCCAAAUGACAAUAACUUGUCAAAAAAUACCAAAAAAUCAAUCGCCCAAACACUUGCAUUUGAUAGUGGUUUGGAUUGAUGUUGAAACACAAACCAAUUAAAUCUAUGAUGUGGCUUUAUUCAAUAAUUCAAGUGUUCGGGCACUUGAAUCAAACGUGUGGCGUAUUUUCAGUGUACACUGAAAAAAAAUGGUGAACAGUAAAAAAUUUUUUGGUGAUUUUUAAUUUAACUUUUUGUCACUAAAACUUGAUUCGCAAAAAAACACUAUUUUUAUUUUUUUUUAUUUUUUGAUAUGUUUUAGAGGACAUAAAAUGCCAACUUUUCAGAAAUUUCCAGAAUGGGCAAAAAAUCUUUGACCGAGUUAUGAUUUUUUGAAUCCAUACUGAUUUUUUCAAAAAAUCGAAAUAUCGGUCGCAAAAAUUUUUCAACUUCAUUUUUCGAUGUAAAAUCGAAUUUGCAAUCAAAAAGUACUUCAGUGAAUUUUUGAUAAAGUGCAGCGUUUUCAAGUUAUAACCAUUUUUAGGUAACUUUUUUGAAAAGAGUCGCAGUUUUUCAUUUUUGGGCACCAUUGUUUGCCCACUAUUGAAAAAAAUAUUUUUGAAAAGCUGAAAAAAAUCUCUAUAUUUUGCUUUUUCGGACUUUGCUGAUACGACCCUUAGUUGCUGAGAUAUUGCCAUGCAAAGGUUAAAAAACAGGAAAAUUGAUGUUUUCUAAGUCUCACCCAAACAACCCACCAUUUGUUAAUGUCGAUAUCUCAGCAACUAUAGGUCCGAUUUUCAAUGUUAAAACAUGAAACAUUCGUGAAAUUUUUCGAUCUUUUCGAAAAAAAUAUUUUCAAAAAUUUAAAAUCAAGACUAACACUUCAAAUGGGCGUAAUAUUCAAUGUUUUUUUCAAAAAAAUUACCUAAAAAUGGUUAUAACUUGAAAACGGUGCACUUUAUCAAAAAUUCACUGAAGUACUUUUUGAUUGCAAAUUCGAUUUUACAUCGAAAAAUGAAGUUGAAAAAUUUUUGCGACCGAUAUUUCGAUUUUUUGAAAAAAAUCUGUAUUGAUUCAAAAAAUUAUAACUCGGUCAAAGAUUUUUUGCCCAUUCUGGAAAUUUCUGAAAAGUUGGCAUUUUAUGUCCUCUAAAACAUAUCAAAAAAUAAAAAAAAUUAAAAAUAGUGUUUUUUUGCAAAUCAAGUUUUAGUGACAAAAAGUAAAAUUAAAAAUCACCAAAAUUUUUUUACCGUGUAUCAUUUUUUUUCAGUGUAGUCCAUAUCCAUACUUACAACUUUGUCGAAGACACCAAAUCGAUCAAAAAAUUCCUUCAAAAGAUACAGAUUUAUGAAUUUUCACAUAUCAUUUUUGUAUGGACAGCUGCCAAAUUUGUAUGGAAAAUUAUAUGGACAAACUAAUGAUGCAAAAUGGCUAAUUUGGGCAUACCGAAGGCAUCAAUAAAGUUUCAGCCGGAUUAAAAAAUACAAAAAAUAAAAUUAAUGAAAAAAAACCGAUUCCGUAGAGAACUGCUCAGCAGCAGCAGCAGCGGAAAAAACAACGGCUGCGUGUGCGUGAAAUUGCUGCCAAAAUGACGUCGAAGGAGAAAAACAAGGCCUACUUGGAUGGACGCUCUAGAAGAUGGCCACAAGAAUCAACUUCUGCUGAAAUUCAACAAAAUGGCGCUUUUCAGGGCCAACGAAAAAUUCACGAAAGAGUUAUUGCUUCAAAUCAUUCAUGCACUGCUUUUGGUGCAUUUUUUAAAGCUUUUGAUGCUUUGCGUAUAAAUUAAUUUAAAAAUAUUUUCCCCAAAAUUUUCAUUUUAAAAAAUAAAACGAAUAUUAACAAUUUUUGCUUCCAAGUGCCAAACGAUCGCAGUUGGCCUUGAACAAGCAAGCGCGUGCUUUGAACCACGCAAAAAAUCUUGCCGCUCUCUGAUUGGCUGUUUUGUUUUGCCGUGGAGUCGAGCAUUUUUGCCAGGUUUGUUCAUUCCAUCGUCAUCGUUCGAACCAACAACAUCGUAGCAGCAGCAGCAGCAGCGGAAAAACAACGGCUGAAGGAAAUCAAGAACGAGCUCAGAGAAGAAGAAACACGCCAGCGUGUGCGUGAAAUUGCUGCCAAAAUGACGUCGAAGGAGAAAAACAAGGCCUACUUGGAUGGGCGCUCGAGAAGAUGGCCACAAAAAUCAACUUCUGCUGCAAUUCAACAAAAUGGCCAACGAAAAAUUCACGAAAGAGUUAUUGCUUCAAAUCAUUCAUGCACUGCUUUUGGUGCAUUUUUAAAGCUUUUGACGCUUGGCGUAUAAAUUAAUUUUAAUAUUUCCCCCCAAUUUUUCAUCAAAAUAAAACCUCAGGAAAGGAUCAUUUCCGUAGAGGAUUUGAUUGGCUGCCAGAAAUCCAUGGCCAACGUGAGUGUUCCGGAUUGACACCACACAAAAAACCAUAAAAAAGUAUUUUUCAAGGUUUACGAAAUCACCCGAAAGAGUAGUUCUUUUAAAAUUAAAAAAUUCCAUUUCGCCUCAUUUACGCAAUUCAAUAAAUAAUUUAUUUUCACAGCGAAAAAUUUCUCCAAGAGCAGCAGACCACCAUUUUGUUUUGAGUGUUGCUCUUGCAAAGCAAAAAUACCCAUAUUGCCAAAACUCGUUGGUUCCGUAAAUGUCUCCCGGGAGAACCUUCCUUAGGGGCUGGCCACCACUUUCAAAAUUUUCACUAUCAUUUCCAGUAUUAAAAACCACGACCUCCCUGAGGGCACCGGCCAGAUUGUGGGCAAUACUGUCAAAAUGGCCAUUUUAAUUACCAGUACCAAAAACCAAGAAGUUUGAUACCCAUAUUGCCCGAAAUUGUAUGGUUCGGUAAAUGUCCUCCCGGGAGAACCUCCCUGAGGGAACCGGCCACUCCAGGUUGUGGCCAAUACUGUCAAAAUGGCCAUUUUCAUUACCAGUAUUGAAAACCGUGAAUUUUGAUACCCAUAUUGCCCAAAAUCACAUGGUUCGGUAAAUGUCCACCCGGGACAACCUCCCUGAGGGCACCUGCCACUCCAGAUUGUGGCCAAUACUGUCAAAAUGGCCAUUUUAACUACCAGUACCAAAAACCAAGAAGUUUGAUACCCAUAUUGCCCAAAAUCACAUGGUUCGGUAAAUGUCCUCCCGGGAAAACUUCCCUGAGGACACCGGCCACUCCAGGUUGUGGCCAAUACUGUCAAAAUGGCAAUUUUCAUCACCAGUAUCAAAAUCCAAGAAGUUUGAUACCCAUAUUGUCCAGUCUCGUAUGGCCUUCCAUCGUAUGGCCAGAAUAUUCCGGCUGGCUUGCCUCCGCUUGGGCUGCUCCUUGUUCCAGGCCAGCUGCUUUUCGGCCAAUUGCUUCUGGGCCUCCAGGCCAUCUGCUUCCAGGUCCAGGUUGUUGUUCACUCCUCGGCGUCCAGCGAUAGAAUGAUUUCCUUGGGCUGAUCGAGCAGGGUUUAUAUUGGCUCCCAAUUCCACGCAACAGUGCUUUGUUGCGUUGCAGACCCCUUCCCCAGUACCAAGCAUGCAACAUUUUCGUAACGCGCGACAUUUUUCGUUUUUCUGGAUUGACACCUCACCAGAAUAGAGCCCAUAGGACAAAGUUCUUUGUCAAAACACUGCCAAAGUUGACCCCUAAAAAAAAGACAUUUUUAAAAACAUUGGCAAAGUCACAUAAAACAAGUUGAACUUCCAACCCUGAAAUUUUCUAAAAUUUUAAGAGUUCUUCUUUCCAAUGCAUUUUAAAGAUAAAAAAUCGGUUGGAAAAUUGAUUUUUGGCGAUUUUUUAGAUCGAAGCCCGUCUAAAGGCGAGGUUAGGUUGUAGAGGGUUAAGUUGGAUUUCAAUUUUACAUUAUGCUCUUUUACGUUCAUAACAUCAAUUCAGUGAUGUGUAAUUUUACACUUUUUUUCUGUGUACCACCGAAAAAAAUAAUUCCGGUAAAUUUACAUCAUGUAUGAUGUACCAAAAGUGCACGUCAUUAAUGAUGCGAAUUUAAAUUAGUUUCAUUUUAAAUUUACAUGCCAUCCAACGUAAACAAGCCGAACAAAAAGGGACUUGAAAACAUGAAAAUUUCCGAUGAAAUCAACGUAAAUUUACCCAAAAUGUAAAAUGUUUUACCCCGUUGAAUCUAGAAUCAGAUGUAAUUUUUCAAAAGCAUUGGAAUUUGUAUUGGCACAAAUGCAUCUUUGAAACGCAUGUUUAAGGGUUUGUAUAGAAGGUCAAUACAAAACAAAAGCGUGCAAUUGAAAGUGCAAAAUCGCAAUACAAGUAAAAGCUUUUGAUGUCAAAAACAUCAAAAUCUAAAUCCAACGGGGCUUGAAAAAUAAAUUACAUGUUUUUCUGCACUGUACAGCUAUCUGAUAGGAUAGCGUAUUGUCGACGAAUUUACUAAAAUGCAAGUGUGAUUGGAAAAACUCGUUUAACGAAUUUUCUACUUACGGUUUAGCCUUAACGUCAUCAGUUGACCAUAGUUGAACCUGUGCUGGUUGAACGUGGUGACGGCAUACCGUGCCCUGCUUUAACCGGUGUUGGCGGCCGAAAAUUCUCAAUCAGAUGGCCUUACCGCGAUGAACGACAGAACGUCCGACGUGGGUUACGUUUCGAAAAUCUGAAUAUAACGAGAAAAUCAAAGUGUCCAGCUUACCUUUCGUACUUAGGAAACUUUCUAUUCGGUUGAGUGGUGAUGUCUUUCAGAUGGUGCUGCUAGUAGAUGUUUUUGAUGAUCUGUAAGUCGACCAGGGCCGGCAAGUUGAUAUCAACCAAGGUAGUACGCUUCUUGUUGCGAUCUUUCACCAUGAUAAACGGAAAGUACAGGUUAAUCGCAAAAUCAGGCUUUAUCAACUAGGGCGAUGUGUUGUUAAACAGAUCGUAGUACACCAAGCAGGGUUCUUGGAACCUUCCUUGAAAUUACAAAUUGAAAUACCUCAGCCAAGAUGAUGUCAGAGUUCCUCGGUUUUGCCAGAACGACACCCUUGGCAUUCGUAAACAGAUUGGUUACCGCUUCUAAAAAGAAAAAAAAAAUUGGGUAAAUUUACAUCACUUAUGAUGUACCAAAAGUGCACGUCAUUAAUGAUGUGAAUUUACAUCGAAUUCAUUUUAAAUUUAAAUGCCAUCCGAUGUAAAUGUUCCGAACAAACAGCACUCCUAAAACGUGUAAAUUUCCGAUGAAAUCUACGUAAAAUUACCCAAGAGAAAAAAAAAUUUCUCUGUUAAAUCUUGAAUCCGAUGUAAUUUUCAAAUUCUUUCAUAGCCUGAUGUUGCUUACAAUGGUGCUUUUUAAAAUUAUUUUCUUAUCAAACCAAGCACUUGAAUUUAAUCUGAAAGUACUUUUGUUUAACUUGAAAAUAACUUUGCCUUUGUUUAGAAUGGUUCAAACAAAGGCAAAGAAUUUGAAAUGUUUUGUGCACACAAAAAAAAAUCGGGUAAAUUUACAUCAUUUAUGACGUACCAAAAGUGCACGUCAUUAAUGAUGCUAAUUUACAUUAACUUCAUUGUAAAUUUAAAUGCCUUCCGACGUAAACAAGCCUAACAAAAAUCACUUUAAAAACCUCAGCGUCAUACCUCUUUCACGAGUAGACGCGUUUAGGUUUUUCUCCGCCGGGCAGCAGUCGACCGAACCAUUGUUCUUUUUUUUUCUUUUGUGCGCUUCCAAUCACGCGUCGCGAUCUCGUCGCGAGUGUUGAAAAAUGGGAAGACAAAAUACGAUCCGCAUCGACUACGGUGAUCUACCAAACAAACCGGAUAUGCAAAAAGUGGAGACUUUCUGCGCUGAAAAACUCGGACUGAAACGUGGUGAAGUGAUCCGCAUCCAGUCUAGCCGCGCCCUUGGGGUAACUUUCGUGACUGUUGUUGACCUCGACCUUGCUCUCAAGGUGUGCGAGGAACACAACAAAAAACUCGAACUGACCGGAAGCGACAAGAAGCAGCACCCGGUUACCAUCACUAUCGAAGACGGUACAGUGCUGGUGAAACUGUACGACCUUUCGGAGGACGUCCCGAACACUGCCGUCGCAUAGUUCCUAGAACAGUACGGCGAAGUGCGUGACGUGUACGAAGAAACCCUCCACGACACCCAGGCAUUCGCUGGGGCCUACACAGCACUAUGGGGUAUUUACAUAGAAGCGAGCGGCCAAAAAUUUUUUUUUGCUUUUUUGUGUUGUUUGUACUUAAUAUAAUAAAAACAAAAGAAAUUUGAUAUUUUUUCAAAAAAAAGUUUAAUUUUCGAUUUUUUCAUAUAUUUGAGGCCACAUGCGUUAAAGUGGUGAAUUUUAAUAUUCUUGCUCUGUCUAUUUGAUGCACGGAAUGGCGGCUUAUGCUAUGCUAUGUUAUAGUUUCUGAUUUACGUUCAACCCCCCUCCCAUUCCUCUUGAGUUAAAAUCCACCUCUCUUUGAAGACCGGAGCGUUUUGCGCUCACGUGAGCUGUUGAGCCAAAGUAGGUAGUUGUUUUUUCCCUUUUGAAGCAUCUGCCUGUUUGAAACGAAGUUUCUAAAACUAUCAUAACACAGGCAGCAAAAACAAACAAGAAAGAGGUCAAACAAACAAAAGUAAGCAAUGAAAUGGAUUUAGUCGGCGAACCGAAAUAUACGUUCUGUUUUAAAUUUAGAAUUAGCCAAGGGGCAGAAUGAUUCACUCUUUAGUGAGCUAACAAAGAGCUAACUCAUUCUUAAUGUAAAAAUUCAUUGACGUGAAGAGAUGCACUGAUAUGUACAAAAAAUUGAAUUAAUUGACAAAUUAUGUUUAUUUUAAGUUUUUAGAAUCCGGACUCAAGGCGGUUUUAAAAACACCAAAAAAGCAAAAAAAAAAUGUUUUAUUUUACCUUUAAAAAAACCAGCAGUAAGCUUAAUUAAAGUUCUAAUCAUCCCUCAUAUUCGGAGCAUUUUAGAGAAUGUUCAUAUUGAAUCUGUAAUUGAAUAUUUUCAGAAGAUUUGUAUCGGAAUUGUUAAAUUUAAUUUACUUGGGGGAAGAGGAGCCACCCUUUAUGUGAGCAGUUCUCUACGGAAUCGGUCUUUUUUCUUUAAUUUUAAUUUUUGUAUUUUUUAAUCCGGCUGAAACUUUUUUGGUGCCUUCGGUAUGCCCAAAGAAGCCAUUUUGCAUCAUUAGUUUGUCCAUAUAAUUUUCCAUACAAAUUUGGCAGCUGUCCAUACAAAAAUGAUACGUGAAAAUUCAAAAAUCUGUAUCUUUUGAAGGAAUUUUUUGAUCGAUUUGGUGUCUUCGGCAAAGUUGUAGGUAUGAAUAUAGACUACACUGAAAAAAAUUGAUACACGGUAAAAAAAAAAUUUGUGAUUUUUAAUUUAACUUUUUGUCACUAAAACUUGAUUUGCAAAAAAACACUAUUUUUAAUUUUUUUCGUUUUUUGAUAUGUUUUAGAGGACAUAAAAUGCCAACUUUUCAGAAAUUUCCAGAAUGGGCAAAAAAUCUUUGACCGAGUUAUGAUUUUUUGAAUCAAUACAGAUUUUUUUCAAAAAAUCGAAAUAUUGGUCGCAAAAAUUUUUCAACUUCAUUUUUCGAUGUAAAAUCGAAUUUGCAAUCAAAAAGUACUUCAGUGAAUUUUUGAAAAAGUGCACCGUUUUCAAGUUAUAACCAUUUUUAGGUAACUUUUUUGAAAAUAGUCGCAGUUUUUCAUUUUUUAAAAAUAGUGCCCAUGUUUGCCCACUUUUGGAAAAAAUAUUUUUGGAAAGCUGAGAAAAUUCUCUAUAUUUUGCUUUUUUGGACUUUGUUGAUACGACCCUUAGUUGCUGAGUUAUUGCCAUGCAAAGGUUAAAAAACAGAAAAAUUGAUGUUUUCUAAGUCUCACCCAAACAACCCACCAUUUUCUAAUGUCGAUAUCUCAGCAAUUAUAGGUCCGAUUUACAAUGUUAAAACAUGAAACAUUCGUGAAAUUUUCCGAUCUUUUCGAAAAAAAUACUUUCAAAAAUUUUAAAUCAAGACUAACAUUUCAAAUGGGCGUAAUAUUGAAUGUUUGGCCCGUUUGAAAUGUUAGUCUUGAUUUUGAAUCUUUGAAAAUAUUUUUUUCGAAAAGAUCGGAAAAAUCAUAUAUUAACAUUGUGAAUCGGACCUAUAGUUGCUGAGAUAUCGACAUUAGAAAAUAGUGGGUUGUUUGGGUGAGACUUAGAAAACAUCAAUUUUCAUGUUUUUUAACCUUUGCAUGACAAUAUCUCAGCAACUAAGGGUCGUAUCAACAAAGUCCGAAGAAGCAAAAUAUAGAGAAUUUUCUCAGCUUUCCAAAAAUAUUUUUUUCAAUAGUGGGCAAACAUGGGCACUAUUUUUAAAAAAUGAAAAACUGCGACUAUUUUCAAAAAAGUUACCUAAAAAUGGUUAUAACUUGAAAACGGUGCACUUUUUCAAAAAUUCACUGAAGUACUUUUUGAUUGCAAAUUCGAUUUUACAUCGAAAAAUGAAGUUAAAAAAUUUUUGCGACAAAUAUUUCGAUUUUUUGAAAAAAUCUGUAUUGAUUCAAAAAAUCAUAACUCGGUCAAAGAUUUUUUGCCCAUUCUGGAAAUUCCUGGAAAGUUGGCAUUUUAUGUCCUCUAAAACAUAUCAAAAAAUGAAAAAAAAUAAAAAUAGUGUUUUUUUGCAAAUCAAGUUUUAGUGACAAAAAGUUAAAUUAAAAAUCACCAAAUUUUUUUUUACCGUGUAUCAUUUUUUUUCAGUGUAGUCCAUAUGCAUACCUACAACUUUGCCAAAGACACCAAAUCGAUCAAAAAAUUCCUUCAAAGGAUACAGAUUUUUGAAUUUUCACAUAUCAUUUUUGUAUGGACAGCUGCCAAAUUUGUAUGGAAAAUUAUAUGGACAAACUAAUGAUGCAAAAUGGCUUCUCUGGGCAUACCGAAGGCACCAAAAAAGUUUCAGCCGGAUUAAAAAAUACAAAAAAAAAAUCGAAAGACCGAAAUCUCAGAGAAUUGCUCAUGUGCUAAAACAUAACAAUGACAAUUUAUAUUAUUUCAUUCAAAUGGGUUAUUUCAAACACUAGCAAUUUGGGGCCUUUUUGUAUAAAAGAGCUGUUUCAAUAAUUUUACCCCAUUUUCUAGAAUGAGAAAGAGAAUGAUUAUCUAUAUUAAAAAAUGAUCAGCCGUUUCCAAGCACUGAACGAUUUAUUAAACGGAAUUACAUUUUUUUAAUGGUUGCUUCUAACCCGCACGGUGGAAAGGUAGUCAUCAAACUGUUUAGGUAUAUAAAACAGUUAAAUGUUAUAUUUUAAUUAACCAAGCACAUAACAUUGAAUCGAACUUACCACAGCAUAAAUCUUCUUGAAAUAAUUCAUUGUUAUGUUUUUCAAAGGUUUUCAGUCAUUUUUGUUUUACGCGCUCAUACCCUUCCCCCAGCAAUUGUGAAUAGCAUCAUUGGUGCGCUGGAAGUGGGGACGCGAAGUCGUGAUGAUUCAGGUUAAUUUUUGUGUGUGCUUUUGUGUCGCUGUUCGUAUGGGGUGAGUGAUUGUGGUAAUCGAAUAAUAGCAUCAUUGGUGCGCUGGAAGUGGGGACGCGAAGUCGUGAUUAUUCAGGUUAAUUUUUUCGUGUGCUUUUGUGUCGCUGUUCGUAUGGGGUGAGUGAUUGUGGUAAUCGAAUAAUAUCAUCAUUGGUGCGCUGGAAUUGGGGACGCGAAGUCGUGAUUAUUCAGGUUAAUUUUUUUGUGUGCUUUUGUGUCGCUGUUCGUAUGGGGUGAGUGAUGUGGUAAUUGAAUAAUAGCAUCAUUGGUGCGCUGGAAGUGGGGACGCGAAGUCGUGAUUAUUCAGGUUUUUUUUUGUUAUUAAGUGUCGCUGCUUGUAUGGGGUGAGUGCAUAAUUUGUAAAGGGAGCGCGUGGUCGUAAAACUUAAUUAAUUGUUUUGUGAUUUUCAAAGCCCUUCCUAUAUCAUCGUUGAUCGGAAGGCACGGCGUCGGGUGGAUUGUGUUAAAAUUAU